GGGAAAGUGCCUCGAAUAGUUACCCCCGCCCCCCUACACCCUUGCUUGAUCCUAUUUUCAUCUCAAACACGUUUUUAAUCGAAAAUUCAAGGAAAUCGCACGUUGACGUACUGCGGUGCGUGGUAUCUUUUUUAAGAACUACGAAGUCCUACACGUUUUUUUCCCCGGCCAAUUUUUAAUUAUAAGAACGCGAAAAUAUCCGAGCGUAAAACAUUAU